GGAGCACUUUGGUGAAGUAUCUCUUGGUGACCAUUCCAUAUCGUUGACCAAAAUCUGCUCCACUUCCUUAGGCGCACAGAUGCAGAACAAUUUAUAUCACAGGGUCUCAUGGAAGAAUUUCUGGAGUAGGGAUCACAUAUGGUGUAAAAUAGAUUUUAAUUACCACCCACAACAUUUUCUUCGUU